rnacentral:rRNA from 1 species
AUUGAACGCUGGCGGCAGGCCUAACACAUGCAAGUCGAACGAGUGGCGGACGGGUGAGUAAUGUCUGGGAAACUGCCUGAUGGAGGGGGAUAACUACUGGAAACGGUAGCUAAUACCGCAUACCAUCGGAUGUGCCCAGAUGGGAUUAGCUAGUAGGUGGGGUAACGGCUCACCUAGGCGACGAUCCCUAGCUGGUCUGAGAGGAUGACCAGCCACACUGGAAAUGAGACAAGGUCCAGACUCCUACGGGAGGAAGCAGUGGGGAAUAUUGGACAAAGGGCGCAAGCCGGAUGCAGCCAUGCCGCGUGUAUGAAGAAGGCCUUCGGGUUGUAAAGUACUUUUAGCGGGGAGGCGUUACCCGCAGAAGAAGCACCGGCUAAAUCCGUGCCAGCAGCCGCGGUAAUUC